rnacentral:lncRNA from 1 species
AAUAUUUUUGGUGAGUAUUUUCUAUCCGACCAGUGGCUUCUAUCCGAACAGUGGAAGCUGGACAGCCACGGCUGACUGUUGUUCUGUUGGCGGGCCAGCGCUGCCUCCCACCGGCCACCAUACGAUGACGGCCGCCGGAGACCGAGCACCGGUACCACCGGACAAAAAGUGGAAUCGGCAAGGCCGGGCUAGCGACUGUCUGCAGAUCGGCAGAGAAGAGCUGAGCUGCACCUACGCUGCAGGGCAACUACCGACUGCAGUGGCUUUACCUGUUUUUGUGUGACCAGCGAGGAAUAAAAUGGGCGCGAGACGGAGCAGCGAGACACUCCUCACACAGUCCACACCACGUUCGACAACACCCACUCUGCAACACUCCACUCAACAUGCACAAGUAAGUACCUACGUAAGAAUGACUCAGACCGGACGGUCUGCCCCAGCCAGCUCUCUUGGAGCUGUGCUGUGGGGACAAGGUGACGUGAUGUCUUCUAGGAAGUCCGUUUAACUUGCCGAACUAUUCGGUAUAUGGUUGAACUGUUUGUUUUGUCUUUCGGCUAACCAUUCGGUUAUCUCUUUCGGCUUUUUGUUUGGUGACCGUUGACCGCCGUUGUCCGGUCUCACUGCGCUGUUUGUGUUUCAGCCUGCCCGCCAUCAUGACGCUGACCAGGGAGCCGAUUGGCUCGGCUUGGCGGCAGCAGGCUGUUCUUUCGACACUCUUCCGUCUUCUUCGAUAUCAGCCUGUGCUAAUGCAACGGCUAUUCGUGCAGGACUGAUUUUCGGCCUUGUCUCGUUUAAUGACUCGAUCGCUUCCUUUUGACAUUUUGGUUUCGACCUCAUCUUUUGGCUCAUUUCAAUAUAUCUACUUUUAACUCAUGUUCACGUCUGUAUGGUGGAUGGUGUUGGGAACGAAGGAGGGAAAGGAACCAGAAACACACAUAUAUCGAUCGCGUUUUCAUCAGUAAUACCCCUAGACAGCAUAUAGAGUAAAAGAUUGAAGAAUAUAAUCCCCUAGACAACAGAUAAAUAAUCAGGAUGCAAUGUAGGCUAUACAAAGGGACCACUUUCAAAUUACAUUGGGGGCUCGUCCGGGAUCUCAAACUCUGUUCUGCUCGAACAGGACCCUGAUUAUAUAUGCUUCUGAUUCAUUGCAUGUUCUUGCUUGUAAAGUUUUCAGGUUCUUUGUUGUUCCAGAAUGAUUCGUCGUUGGUGUAACUUGCUGCUCGUGGUUCGUAAACUUUCCGUUUCACCGUGUUCUGAAUUGACUGGUCACAAUUUGUGUAUUUCCAGUUGCCUUUAUUUGAUGGUGAAUGGCUCGAGUUCCAGACUCUACUAGGUUCGUCAGGCCAAUUGUUGGUCCGCAUGCUGCAUGGACAACCUACAUUGGACGCACCGUCGAGGUCGCCAUCUCUUGAAGUUCAUUUGAUUCAGGUUAGUCUUGCUUGCUUCUGUGGGUCUACUUACUUUGCCUUCUGGGUAUACGCUAUUCGGUCGUAUGCCUCGCAAAUUAAUUCGUUCGCAUCGUUGGCAUGACAGCAAAUGGCUACCUAACUUCAUAGGAGGUAUAAAUGAAUGUCCUAAUAUGCGCCAUUGAUUACAUCCAUUCGAUUCCUUAGACUUGAAAAUAUGUUUGGAUGAUACAGGACUUGGUAUUCUUGAACUUUAUUAAGAAGUUGCCCGUAUAAGGUGCUCAUAUAAUGCCGACUUGGUGUUGUUGAGCUGGUCCGUAGGUUUGAUCUGAUAACUUCGACUUGGUGUUAUUGAGAUUUGUCUUGACCUUUAAUGCUCAGAUGUUACUGACUUGGCUUUAGGGAGCUAACACUGACUUCGUUGCCAUGACACGUUCUGAUGAUACCGACUUGGUGUCAUUGAACUUUGGGGUAGUUGCCAUAGGACGUCAGUGACCAGGUGCAUGGCAGCACAGUGGUCAGCUAGCGUAUUCGGGGCAAUAACCAUCCACAGAUAAAACAUCGCGAGUUCGAUCAUCUGAUCGCCAAACCGGAUAUGCGAUUUGAUCAGUGUUUUCAAGAUCGCUGAAGUAUCCCAUGAUCAAGGUUUCCGGAGUUCAGAGGUCCGUUGACAUAACCUUACAUGGCCCUGACACAGUCCGAAGUGUCAUUGUGACUGAGUGGAUUGAUGCCUCGCUGACAUGAUUAGUUAUUCUUUUGUGGUUUUACUUGUUGUUUGGGUUUUAAUUAUUGUUUCAUGGAGUUGUUUCAUGGCUGAGUUGUUGACAAGGUUCAGUGGAACAAAAUCGGUUCAAUGUUUCACAGUUUGAGAUGUCAUUUAUUUGUGAGAGUACAACGUCGUUUACAUCUAUUCAGUUCUUACACAGGAAUUUCAACAUUUCAGAGCAUGUGGCAGGUUUCCGGCAAGUCGAAUUCGGGUGAAGUAAUUCUCUCUGUGUUAGACACUUUGCCCUAGUUGAUAGGUAAAUUUCGUAUUAAUUAGUCAUUAUUGGUUAACAUUGGAUGGCAAUAUACCUUUGCUUCGGUUCAAACAGACAGUCAUCUCAUCAGUCAGUUGAGGGUUGUGAUUUGUGAAGAUAAUCCCAGUCAACAUUGGUGAUACUCCCGUCCAGUUGGGAAGUAUUUGACAGAAUGAUAAACGCAUCUGUUAUUUGGCGGGUGAUGUGCUGGGCCAGAAAUGUGGUUUCCGUUUAUUGAGUAGGUCGUGCCGUCUGCCUACGUCCCUGAGAGAAGGGCGAGUGCUAGGUAGGACGUGCAGCCUACAGACGUCUCUUGGAGGAGGACGUCACCGGACCGUCUGCUCGCGUGGAGCAGGACGGCAGUCGCUGCCCGGACGCGUAGGAGCUGAGGAGAACUGGUGAUAGGGCCUGCCCCACCUAUCUACCAGAGUUGAGCAGCAUGGCAGAGGGUGGUCCUCUGGGGGUCCAUGCCCACCGAACAUACACCGGCCGGGUAUGGGUGGAAUUCUCGGUCAGCUUACGCUCUAGGCAUAAGGGCUGGGCGUGCAGUGACGGGAGCAGCAGGUCACUGGCACAAGCGACAAUCCAUGCUGAGGAGGUGUUCCUAGUAUGUGAAAAACGGAACCAUUUGAGCGUGUAAGGCGGCAAACCCCACCGCAAAUACACUGCUACCGGAGUAUAAAGAGUCGAACACUCCGGCGACUACAAGAGAGAGGCCAGCAGCAAACCCGACUAACAGCUUAUAUGUUUCAGAAGGUGACGUCGAUAGGAAAGGUGUCUUAUUGGGUGAUGACGACUCGAUUGCUCGAAUUUGUUGCACAGGUGCUGCAGGUACAGCAAACCUGACCAGAAGCUUUAUUGUUUCAGAAGAUGACAUCGAUAGGAAAGGUGUCUUAGGAUGAUGACUCGGUUGCUUUGCUUCAUUUGCACAGGUGUUGCAGAAGCAGCAAAACCGAUCGACAGUUUACUUGUUUCAGAAGUUGACUGCAGCGUCGAUAAGAAAGGUGACUCGUUUGCUGUGCUUCGUUGCACAGAUGUUGCAGAAACAGCAAACCCGACAAACGGCUAAUAUGUGAGUACACUUCAGGUGACUGCAGAGGGAAAGACAGUGGUUAAGGGGGAAAGUGGUUUUCGUCUCGUUUUAUCUCCAUUCCAUGGCAGGAGGUAAGACGACUCGAAUCCUUGCUUAGUUGCACUUCGCAAGUCAUAGCAAGUGCAGAACUCUUCAGGAGCCCAGUCCAUGGCUCAUCUUAAAGGUGGAAGAUAUACUUAUACGCUUCAUGUCCUUAUUCAUCGAAAAUGAAUGCGUGGGUCUUGCGGUCGAGAUACCGUGGCAAAGACAAAUAAUAAUUCGGCCCAACAGCAGUCACAACGUGAGCUGACUGAAGCCGAAAGGUUUCGAUUUCAGCGCAGACACCACACCGAGUGGAGGUCCUGAUGGAUUUAUCCGACCCUGUAUGGAGCGCCACCGACUCGUGAGUGACCAGCGACGGUGAUGUCGGGUCACGAACAAAGUAAGGACAACCUUUGAGAUCGAAAGAUCAAAAGCCAACGGGCAUGUGCUCACUUGUUAAAGUAAAGCAGAUGAGUUUGCUACAAUCUACUUCAGAGUAUGCAUGAAGGUCGUGAUAAGGGUCAGUUGGUGCUUGAGGUACAAGUUAUGGUGAAGCAACAAUCUUGUGCAUUGCCUUGAAUCUAGAUCCAGCGACAAUCAAUGGAUCUGUGCAGACCAAAGAUGCGCGGGCAUAGUACCGGCAUAGCCAUAGGACAUGGACAAACUGCUCGUGUGCUGCGCCUCUCAAUGUCCUCAGGUCAUUGGCGCCAUAGCAGCAGAGCGAGUCCUACACAGGUAUCUGAGAUACCAGAAGGUCUACAGGCACAACGAACCUCUCGGCAUGACAGAUUGACUUCAACCCUAACAACUCACCCGAGCCCUUAGGUCCCACAUCUCGAUGCUGACUGCUGCCAGAAGUCUGAGCCGCAUCCUUCUGUUAUGACAGAGGCAAACGAUCACUCGCCCAUUGACUGUAACUUAUCUUCCUCCAUGCGUGGCAAUUCAGAGCAGACGGAUGGACACAUCACGCUAACGCUCGGGAAUUUUAAAGCCCAAGCCCGUAUUGGGAAUUGUUAACAUGAGUACCUUUCAUAUUACAUGGCGUGUUCCUCUGCUAAUCCUUUUCGGUUAGCCCCGAUAUUCCUUAUCCUUGAAACUGUCACAGGUCAGUAGCAAGAUGUGGUUCCCAGAAUAGCAUAAAUGUAAAUAUGCUUUGGUUGCUUUACCAGUAUUUGGCAUCAAGCAGCAGUACCAAUUUGCAGUGCUUGGGUUAUUGAAGCCAUACGAUCUGAUGAAGUUAUGAUCAAUUAAGAUUCAAGCUACUUAGUACUUUGUAUUUUGUACUAAAGUCAUAUUUUUAGGAAGAUACAAAACGGUUUAAGACAGAGGGUUUGUCGCAUUUGACUUAUCAACGAGUCAAACUCAAUUUAGACUGUGAACCAUCUAACUAUUACGUAUGUGUACCCGUUCAUCCCCAAAGGUUACAGUUCUUCGUUCGCUAUAAAAAUGGAAGGGAUGUGAGAAAUAUUUUUGGUGAGUAUUUUCUAUCCGACCAGUGGCUUCUAUCCGAACAGUGGAAGCUGGACAGCCACGGCUGACUGUUGUUCUGUUGGCGGGCCAGCGCUGCCUCCCACCGGCCACCAUACGAUGACGGCCGCCGGAGACCGAGCACCGGUACCACCGGACAAAAAGUGGAAUCGGCAAGGCCGGGCUAGCGACUGUCUGCAGAUCGGCAGAGAAGAGCUGAGCUGCACCUACGCUGCAGGGCAACUACCGACUGCAGUGGCUUUACCUGUUUUUGUGUGACCAGCGAGGAAUAAAAUGGGCGCGAGACGGAGCAGCGAGAGACACUCCUCACACAGUCCACACCACGUUCGACAACACCCACUCUGCAACACUCCACUCAACAUGCACAAGUAAGUACCUACGUAAGAAUGACUCAGACCGGACGGUCUGCCCCAGCCAGCUCUCUUGGAGCUGUGCUGUGGGGACAAGGUGACGUGAUGUCUUCUAGGAAGUCCGUUUAACUUGCCGAACUAUUCGGUAUAUGGUUGAACUGUUUGUUUUGUCUUUCGGCUAACCAUUCGGUUAUCUCUUUCGGCUUUUUGUUUGGUGACCGUUGACCGCCGUUGUCCGGUCUCACUGCGCUGUUUGUGUUUCAGCCUGCCCGCCAUCAUGACGCUGACCAGGGAGCCGAUUGGCUCGGCUUGGCGGCAGCAGGCUGUUCUUUCGACACUCUUCCGUCUUCUUCGAUAUCAGCCUGUGCUAAUGCAACGGCUAUUCGUGCAGGACUGAUUUUCGGCCUUGUCUCGUUUAAUGACUCGAUCGCUUCCUUUUGACAUUUUGGUUUCGACCUCAUCUUUUGGCUCAUUUCAAUAUAUCUACUUUUAACUCA